UUCAUCAAGGGACUGUGUACAACAUAGCACUUAUAUUCCACAUUUCUUUCAUCAAGGGACUGUGUACAACAUAGCACUUAUAUUCCACAUUUCUUUCAUCAAGGGACUGUGUACAACAUAGCACUAAAAUGGAACCAAUCAGGGUGGAGACAAAGCAACUCGGUGUGCCCUCAGCCUCCCCGCGCGCGGGUGUGGGCUCACCAGAGCACGUGUGAUCAUCACCGGGAGAAGACGUGGUUCCACGUGCUCCACUAAAUGUCGCGACACGUGGCUCUCAUCCUGUAACUACACUCAGGAAAUUUGUGGAGAAGUCUUGCAAGGCUCAAUAUCUUUAUUUGAAGAGAAUCUACACCAAGAACAUAUUCUGUCCUGAAGUGAAAGCUUGGAAGAUGUGCUGGAAGUACAAGACAACAUUAUAACAAGUUUUAAUAACCUCAGAGGGAAACUCCCUCGUCAAGGUGCCUUGGAGGAUUCUCUUCCUCAAGAAAAGACUUCCUUCAUGCUACAAGGGGUUCAACUCUACACCCCUCUUCCUGGUUAACCUAGGGGGUUGUCACCUUUCGGCUAAUCAAGCUUCAACGUUGCUUCCCUCUACAGUUGAAGCUACAGGACUCCUCUUCAUCCAAACGAGGGCUCAUUACCAUCCAGGCUACCCUCAUGAUUUUCAUCCCAUCUGCAACCCUGAGAGGGGAGGGCUCCUAUUCCUUUUAGGCUUGUCUGCAUUUUUUCCCCUUUGGCUAGCCUCUAUGGGCUUGAUGGGCUCCUUUCUCCAUCCUUGGCUAGCCUUGGGAGUUCCGAUUCUCAGCUGGCUAGUCAUGGGGAACUGCUCUCCUGGCUGUGCUAGGAAUUCAUCUGCAUUUGUCAGCUAUGCUGGGGUGAGGAGGUAGACUCCUUUUCCUUCAGCAAACCUUGUGAGCUCUAGGGGUUACACAUCCCAAAUGGCUAGCCUUGUGGGGGGUUUCUCUUGCCCCCUGAAAUUACUAUGGUAGCAAUGGCUGACUCUUCUCUACGCUCAUACAGCCUUACAAUUUUUGGAGUAGCCCAAACUCUUUGGCUGUAGCC